GAAAUGCGAUAAGUAAUGUGAAUUGCAGAAUUCAGUGAAUCAUCGAAUCUUUGAACGCACAUUGCGCCCGCCAGUAUUCUGGCGGACAUGCCUGUCCGAGCGUCAUUUCAACCAUCAAGCCCCCGGGCUUGUGUUGGGGACCUGCGGCUGCCCGCAGGCCCUGAAAACCAGUGGCGGGCUCGCUGUCACACCGAGCGUAGUAGCAAUCACCUCGCUCAGGGCGUGCUGCGGGUUCCGGCCGUUAAACAGCCUUACAAAACCCAAGGUUGACCUCGGAUCAGGUAGGAAGACCCGCUGAACUUAAGC
rnacentral:misc_RNA from 1 species